rnacentral:rRNA from 1 species
UGAGGAAUAUUGGUCAAUGGACGAAAGUCUGAACCAGCCAUGCCGCGUGAAGGAAUAAGGCCCUAUGGGUCGUAAACUUCUUUUGUAUGUGAGCAAUAAGGUCCACGUGUGGACCGAUGAGAGUAUGCGUAGAAUAAGCAUCGGCUAACUCCGUGCCAGCAGCCGCGGUAAUACGGGGGGAUGCGAGCGUUAUCCGGAUUCAUUGGGUUUAAAGGGUGCGUAGGCGGCUUUGCAAGUCAGCGGUGAAAGGCCCGGGCUCAACCCGGAAAGUGCCGUUGAUACUGUGAGGCUGGAAUGCGGAUGCUGUGGGAGGAAUGAGUGGUGUAGCGGUGAAAUGCAUAGAUAUCACUCAGAACACCGAUUGCGAAGGCAUCUCACAAAUCCGCAAUUGACGCUGAGGCACGAAAGCGUGGGGAUCGAACAGGAUUAGAUACCCU